CCCCACCUACACCCCUCUGCAUCCCGGCCAUGUGUGUGACCCCUUCCCUCCCCUCUCCAGCUCCCCGCUCAUCGCACCGGCGCGGGGGCUUUGCACUGUCUUCACGUCGGCGAUGCCUGCAGGUCAGUGCCAGUCACCGGAGAUGUCAGAACCAACGGGACACCGACCCCCAGUCCCACUGCAAGCACGGAGAUCCCAGAGACCCACAGCCAGCAGCAGCCCAGUCCCGUUCCAACUCCAGAGGAAAACUGCAAACUGGCCGGAGACGUCAGGACCACCAGAAGCCGCUCCCCGAUGGGCCGCUACGGAGACAAGUGGCAGUUCGCCCACAACCCGAGCUGCGCUCCCUCAUCGGGACACCGACCCCCAGGCCCACUGCAAGCACGGAGAUCCCAGAUCAGCAUCUCCAGCCCCGCUCCAACUCCAGAGGAACACGCUCCCCGUAGGGGCAGAAGCUGAUGGUGUGCAAGUCCACAGAUGUGGGACGUUAUCCAGUGGGUGAGCUGAUACAUUGGAAUGGCCAGGUGUGGACAAGUGGGAAUGAAUGAGGAGUUAUAUCCAAACAGCUGGAGUGACAACAAACUGCAACUGACAUGCCUCGAGUGAAGGAAUAAGGCUGAACAUUCACUUUAGCAGCAGACAGAAUAAACAUGACAAUCAAAAAAAGAACUGACACCAAGACAGCCAUCAGUUUAAUUUAUGUGAAGGGCAGAAGUUUGUUCUGUCAAUUCUUCUUCCUGUAUUCAUUAAUUAUUGUAACAUUUGUGCAGUUACCAUAUCAAGUGCAUCCCUCCACUUAAGUCUAAUUUGUUUGAUUAUAUGCUAUUCAUUUUUGAUUUCCCACUUUCCCUUCUUUGGUUUUUGGGAAAUCAUCCAUCGGGCCUAAUCCCAGCUCAGACGUGACACCUCCUGUUGCCUGUAAUCUCCACUGUUCAGACAUUCUUAUCCUAAAGGCAGGCAGUGAUGAAAAGCAGCAGUGAGUCCUAGAAAGAGCACAAAACUAAGGGGAAAUAUCAAAGUCUCCUCAAACCAUCCAACGUAGCUGUACAGUAACUUUAGAUCAGAUCACGGUUUUGUGUGCUGUUGUCCUGCUGCCAAAUACAUUUAUUCAUUUCCUUUGUCUGAUCGUAAUCUAAAUGUAACUCUUUGAUGUCUGGUGCGGCACUGUUCAAAUUGUCGUAAUGGAUGCCAGGAUCACUGAGAUGCUCGGUGUGUUUGUGUCGUGCUUCAAUUUUAUGUGAAAAUGGCGGGGAAGGAAGAAACCAAAGCCCGCACCAAAUCUUUGAUGAUCGGAGCAACAUGGCUAGACACUUCAUCCUCCCCACAGCCAAAUAAUCUACG